UUGUAAUUAUUAGAAUAUGAUGAGUCUUAUACCUUGAGCCUUGAUGUUUUUUUGCUGAUUCUUCCCACUGUAGCAGUAAUACUGUUCAAUAUCCCAACCAAAGCACCUAGGUUGUCCACCUAUUUCAGACCUUUGUACAGCCGCUUUCAAUUUUCAGUUCAAGCCAUUGAUAUCUACACUACUUGCAAGGUCUCUGUCUUUCUCCAUGUAUAUGUGUAUGUGUGUAAAGUUUGUCUUUUUUCUCUAUUUAUAUGUGUAAAGUUUGACUCUUUUAUAGCUUUUCAAUGGGUGAUAUUUUCAUUUUGGUUGGGAUUGCUUAGGUGUUUCAAGUUAGAGUGAGUUUUGUAAAGGAUGUGCAAAAGCAAGAGGCAUGGUGGGAAAGACAACAUGAACUUGCAGCUGAGAAUUUUGGGUUUUAUAGGCUCUCUUUAGUCCUGUUAGUGGAAGCAAUUGGACUUGCUUGGUGAUUUUGUUGAAGGAGCUUACAGUAGCUUGAAGAAGUUGAGAAAAGAGAACAGCCUAAGAAAGGGAGGAAAUACAUUCUUGAAAAGCAUUGGAUAAAGCUUGAAGAUGUAAGCACAAUUUUAUAUUUAUUCUAUUUAUUGGUUCUUUUGUAAUACUUAUUAAACCAAAUG